GAGCUGUUGAUGCCCUCUACAUUGUGCCGCUUCACCACAUUUGGUGAAGGCAUCUCCAUUCUCUGAAAGCCAGCAGUGACUCAGUGAUAGUAAAAAAAUAAGAUAGGAUUUCAGGUGCUUUCUCUGGCAUCCUGUGUUUGAAAGGGGAUGUCCCUGUGCUGUACAGAGUGAGAUGAUUUGUUUACAAAGAUGCAAUAUAAAACAUACUUCAAAAUCUCUUGUUUUCGUAAGAACCUGUUUAUAUCUGUGAACUUUAAAAGUGAGACAUAAAUUAUUGGACACUGUCUGGUUAUGGCUGAAAUUUCUGAGGCUCUUUUGGCUCAAUUUGUCUGGGAAAAUGCCUGCAAUUUGGACCCAGUCUAAUGGCAGUUUCCCAUUGACUCCAGUUGGCAUUGUACCAAACCUUAGUGUUCUCUACAGCAGGCAAAUGCAAGAAUGAAGUAUUUCUGUGACUCUCUCUAGAAUCAUGAAUGCUGGUGUAACUUGGAGAUACUCUUGAGGUCUCCCUGAGCAUGCCUGCAUGUGCAUUUUCUGUGCAGGUAAGCAAUGACAGGCAAGAGACCAGGAACACAAGAAAGGGAAAAUAGUAGUUAGUUCCCAAGACAGUUUUGUCACAGCUUUAGAAAUAUCUAAGCAACCUGUCUAGCUCCACUCUGGAGAGCCAGAUAAAGCAUAUCUUCCUUCCCAUCUUCCUCUAGAACUCUAAUUGAGAAACAAAUAAAAUUUGUGUAACCUUAUAUAGCCACUGCCAUAACUCUGUGUAUCUGAUAGCAUCCUUUAUCUCUCACCAGCUGGAAGUACCGCAUUUUCAUAGCCCUGAAUCACCAAAUGCAUUCAUCAAACAUGACAAAUGCCUUCAGAACACUAAAUCACACCACUCGAUCUCAAUGGGCUACAUAAUCAUUGUCAUAGCGAUAAUAAAUAUAGGAAUAUCUGUGUUCCAGACUCAAAUAACUAUGGCUUCUACCAGGGCUGAGAAACUGCAGGGGGAAAACUGAAUCCUAAGUUAAGAGGUUUUCAGUGCUUCAAAAAUUUGAUAGAAACAUGAAUAUUUUGUGAUGUUUUCUGAUUUUUAUUUUUAGAAAAAAGUAUUUUGUUAUUCAGGUUAUAUCUUAGCAAGUAUAAAAAUUUAGAAGGGAAAAACUAUUUACUGCUCUCCUGAGGCGUUGCCAGUUCUGUGGCCUUGCCCAUGUACUGCUUCCUGAUGCUCUGGUGUCCCAGAUGACCCUCGCAUGCCUGAGGGUGGCAUUGUAAGGAGAUGCCAGUAUCUUUAUGGCUUCUGCAGGGAGAAAAAUGGAGCAGAGCAUCCUUUUCCUUGCUCUGUUUGAUGGCACCCUGCACCUGAAAGGCAGCAGCAGGAAGACACUGAAGUCAUCGCAGGUCACACUUGGUAUCACUUCAAAAAAGGAAAAGUUGGGCUAUGGAUGCAUGAGCAAAUUGCCUGAAGGAUCCCAUCUAUCAACUGACCUGUGAGAACUACGUCUUUUCUGCAGUGAAAGCCAGGCAGUGCAAGGUAACUUCAUAACCUUAAUUAAAUUGAUGCUCAUUCUCUUUCUUUGGAGUUGGUUUGGGAGCUAGCAAGAUAGUAUUACCUCAGAUAACCUUAUUUUAUCCAAGAGCACACCCAAGCAGAUUAUAGGCCACUACACUGUAAACUGUUUUUACUUCCACAGAGCCAGUAUUCCAUGGUCAGAGCUAAACCAGAUGUUUUAAAACUAGUUCAGUAGAAGAUGCAUGAAUGUAAACAUUUCCUCUUCAAUGUUCAUCACCCAAAGUCAAUACCCCUGUGUUUGUAUGUAGGAUUGCAAGAUGGAAACUUUGGUUUCAGUCCAUACAUGAAUCUUCAUUUUUUAAAAGUGCAUUUUUAUACAUGUAUGUGUGGACACAAAGACAUUGUGUGUGCACAGUAUCUCAAAAGCAAGUACAGCAUUUGCUGCUGUGCAGUCCUACAGCAUUUUCUUAUAUCUCUGCUUAGUGCUAUUUACUGCAUUUUUAAGUCAGGUCAAAAAGGAGACUUGUCUGGGAAUUUUCACUGUGUUUUUGCCACCCAGUUGCCACUAAAGCUGAGCAUGUGAUUUUGCUGUAAAAAAGAUGCUGAUUUGUCAAGAAUGCAAAACCUAUGCUGACAUCAGUGGGAGUUGGGUAUCUGGAAUGAUUAAAGACCAAAGCCAAUGAUAUGACUGCAUGGUAUUAGCCUGGGAUUUGGGAAAUGAGUACUCUUUGCUCUGCAAUUAGAUCUUCUUAAUAAGAGGCAGUUUAAGGUGACCAAAAGCCCAGUCCUGCUGAUCAUCUGCACUGUGAACUUCUAAAAUCAUAUCCCAGCAGCUCCCUAGUUUGCCCCUGCAAGUUGUGAAGAACACCCAGGUAAAGACAGCAGGUCUCCAGUCUGUCCUCACCUCCAGCCCUGUGUAUCUGGUAUGAUGGGCCAGGCUGUCCACCGGCAGCAACAGCCUUGUCCUCUUCCAGGUCCUCAUACUGUUGGUUCUCCUUCCAUGGCUCCUCAGGCAAGCUGAGCUCCCAGGGAGACUUGUGCAAGAAGGGCUUUCUCAGAGCCACAGAACCUCCCCAUAAGCAACAGCCUAUGGCUGGAGCUUCAGGCACUCUGGUAGCGCAGGUAGGUUAUAAAUCACAGACAUCCUCAGAGGCUCCUGUACCUUCAGAAAACAAGGGAGGACUGGUCCAACAUGCUCCCCCCUCUUUCUUAUUUGCUGGCAGUGGCUCAGGAGUAGAAGACAUAGGCAUAGACUGUAUGUGUGCAGGGGCUGGUUCAGACCUGCUGAAAUGCAAUUACCUUUGUGGUGCUUCAUCAGCGGUUUCCAUAUAAAGAGUAUUUUGGAAUGAGCAGAAAAAUGCUUUGUGCAAUGAAAAAAAUAUCAAAAAGGACUUGGGAUGGUAGAAUGUAAAUAACUAAAUGACCAAAUCAGUGUUCUCUUCUUGAAAGAGAUCCAUUACACAGAUGCUGUUGGAUAUAUUGUCUUUUGAAUGGCUCUGUCCUGUUCCUUCCUUGGCUGCCUGUAUUUCCUGCUCUGCCAUGACACUGCUAGGCUCCUGGCAUUGCCCCACUUGAUUUGUCCAAAUAACGGUCUUUCAAAGAAUAAUAGCCCUUUUACUCAAGGUUGAGAAAUGGCUGAAUCAGUGAAAGCAGUGCUUGGAAGUUUUCCUGAGAGGUUACUGUCUUGAGUACUGGUCAGAACCUCAUCUGGCUCAGCCUGUGAGAAAUGCUGACACUGCAAACCCUGAUGGUGAGAUUUCAGGCUGUAGUCUUUCCUGUUAAAAAGCCUACAGAUAACCUCCCUUGAUACAGCUUGAAAUAUUAACCUGCGUUCCUUCUGAUUUCCGCAAGUAAACCCCUUAACCUCUGGAUGUAAAGGUGCUUUCCCUAUCAGCAGCCAUCCAACCAAGAUGCAGUUUUCAAGUGAAUUUGCCAUUAAUGUGAUAGUGUAUGUGAAUGUCAGGUUUGUGUAAUGCUGUUAAAAAGACUGCUUUCACUUAGAUGGGCCCAGACCUUUAAAUCUGUAUUCUGGGUAUGUGUGGUCUAGAAUAGACAUGGUGUAGUCCGUGUCAGGUGCUGCAAAUGCAAACCUAUAUUACUGUUUUCAUUAAAAGCAAAUCUAGACCUUAACAAAGCAGCUGUAUUUUUGGCACCUAACUUAUUCUUUUAAAAAAUAUUUUUUUUUAAUUGAAUAAUGCUCAUAGUCAUUGAAUUUUGAGAAAUGCUCACACUUAGUGCUUUGACUUUUUCAUGGGAAUGUGUCACUAAAAGGAAAAGAUGUUACUUCAAUACUGGCCAAAGUACAAUUCAAACCCAGCCACUGUUGAUGUGAUACAGCUUUUCACAUGAGUAAAACAGUCCACCUUGCAGGAGCUCCAGGAGCAGGUUUGUUCUUUUAGAUUGAAUUAUUUUUGAAUCAUAAACAUUGGUCAGCUACAGUAAUUCGUCUGUUCUUUCUGUUGGUGCUAAAAAGAAUCUGCUUUUUUUACCUCUAUGAAGAUGCACAAUCAGAGCAUUCACUGAACAUCCAGUUUUGCUUGAAAUUUUGUGCUUCACAAUAUAUAAGAGUUUGAGAAAUGCUGAGAAACAGGGCAUUAAGUGUAGGACAUUGCAUCCAUCCACACAAGAGAAACUAAGUCCACUUUGUCUUAGCCUAGCUGAAUCAUCCAGGUUGCCAUAGACUUUGUGGCUGCCACAAGUGAUGGCUGUAGGUGGGUGUGCCUGUCAACUAAACUACCAAAGGAUUUGGUGGCUGGUGUGUGGUACAAUGGAUAAACCCUGCUUUUUCUGACAUCAGUACUGGUGCCUGGCAUUUGCAAAGCCCAUCUCUCUAGAAUGACCUUCACACAGUAUAUGGGAGCUUUUGAUCUCUUUGUAUGCUGCGAGAUGUGGAACUGUGUGAGAACAAAAUGUAGCGCAAAUAAAUGAUGACAUGAGAGGUACCAAGGUGCUGUGGGUUAAGGAGGCAGGAUUUGGAGUAGGAGAAAAAAAAUACCUAAUUUUCCAUCCAGCUCACCAGUCCCCUGUGUGCAGACUAAUUUUAGAGAUAAUUGUUACAUGAUUUCCUGAAUAUAAUCUAUUGUUAUCUGUGCCUUGCAAAAUAAAGCCAUGUCUAAUUCUGGAUAACCACAGAGGUGAUUUCAUAGUUACACUGAAAUGAGGAUAAGGACUUGUUAAUGAUCUUUAAAGAUCACAUCAUUUAAUUCUGUGCUCUUGGUAGUUAAACCAGACUAGUCACAAAGGGGUACGUGCUCCUUUUGUUGCAGGCAGCAGCCCCUGUUAAUUCCAGUGGGAGAAAGGAAGAUGCUUCUGAUCACACAUCUCACCUUGGUGUACCAAGUGUUUGAGACAAAGCAUGGGAUAAUUUGCUAUUUUUGUCUGCGUAACUCCUCUGCAACCUGGAGCAAAGAGUUUAAAGGCCAAGUCCUGCUGCUGCUGAGAGUGCUUCUGAAGUGCUAAGAGCCUCUGCCUCCCGACCAGCAAAUGUGUGACUUGUUCUGAAGCAGGAGGAAAUUACCAGCCAGAAAAUGCUCCCUCUCCAGCAGGGCAGUUGGGAACAAUGGGAGCUGCUGGGCACUCGAUGGGCUGAAGGUUAAAGAAAAAUGAAAACGAAAGCUAUGAAAAAGUAACAACAGCUCAGGAGGUGAUGCUGCAUUUUUCCUGCUUUCCAGUGUUUUCCUGGCUUCAGGUGUGAUUCUCUAGUGAAACUUUUGGGUUAACUUAUAGAGGGAGAGACAACCUAAGGAGCAGAAAACAGAAUCAUGCUCAUCUGUGGUUUCCAAUGGAGAGAAGAAGGGAGCAAUCAGUUCCCCUCUCUUCUCAAAAAUAGGUCCCAGGAGCCCAUCACAUUGAAGUAACAUGGUGAAGAGCUGAAGUCAUCCAACAAAAUAAAGUAAAUUAUUUUCAAUUACUGGAAAUGAGUAAUGGGUGAAGAAAAACUUAUGUUGUGAACAAAAACGAAAGAAAAUGAUCAGAAAAAGAACAACAAGUUGGAGAGACAUUUGUGACUUUUGUUUUCCAGUUGGUGCUUUCAUUUCACAGAUAGCUAAAAAAAAAGCCAUCUUGGAGGCUUUAGCAGAUUGGUAAGCCUAACUGGGCUGGACAAAAGCUACUAAAUCCCUUAAAUGAGUUUCUCAAAUGUUUAGUCAAUGAAACUUCUUUUGUAGGGUGAGUCACCCCCAAAAUAUAUUUUAAUGCCUUUUUCCUUUAAUUGCUUUGGCUAUAAAGUGGAAAAAAAAGCUCAUGGGUUUGUAGAGACCAUCAAACCAGUCCCACCUGCACCAGUAGGUUAGAAUUUACAACCAGCUUAACUAGCUCUGUGGUAUUUGUAUUCAAUAAAAGGUAAAACUCUCUUAUGAGCUGCUUCUUUUUUUAAUUCUGCUUUUUUUUUUUUUAAGCCUAUGAGGCACAUAAAAUGCAAUUCACAGCAGAAGGAUGGUAAUUGGGAGAAAAUGUAAUGGAUGGUCCACAUUUCUCUUUGAAGUUCCCAUUGAUCAGUGUUGCUGAGACUAUUUUUCUAAUCCAUAACUCAGAAACAUGAAGGAACUGCCACUUUAUGCUUUGGGUAUAUGUGCUUCACCUGCUAAGGAAGCAGAUCUGGACUCCUGAGAAGCUUUUAUUCAGCUUUUUCUUUUCAAGAUGGUGAAAAAUGGGCAAGAAUCAGGCCCCCAGUUCUGGUGUUUUCUUGAAUACAAAUUUUCCUGACAUUAACCAGAGCAGUAGUUGUUUGGUGAUUUCUUUUUUAUGUCUGAAUUUUGUGUAAGACAACUACAUCCAAUAUCUUCUAGUCAAAGAAUGUGCUUUCAGCCAAUUCAGAGUUAAUUAGGAGAUGUUACCCCACCUCCUCCCCAGUGGACAGGCAGCUUGUGUUGAAAAAACAAGCCUUUCACAAACAGGGAAAAGCCAUCUGUCCAAAACAUGCUUAGGAAAAAGGUUUUUUUUAAUGCUUCCAUUAGCUGAAUUCACAGGUAAUAGUUUUCAUAGUGGAGCCAGUUAGUAGGAUAAAUUUUCAUGUCCCUGACUGAUACAGAUGUGAUGGCAAACCAGACGAAGUAGCUGUGGCAACAGCUGUUGGAAGGGUCAGGGAGUCACAGCCAGACACUUAACCAGCACUGGGACCACAGACAGAAAUGUCUGUGGAAUUGUGUACGUGCAGGAAAAAUGUCUUGGUGUUGAAGGUGCUGUUUGCAUUGAGAAAAUAGUUUCUCUGCAUGGUCAGGCACUGCCAGGUCUUGAUCUCUUUGCAUUUCAUAAUCUCAACUGAAAAGCCACCUUUCUUGGCAGAAGUUUCCAAAGAGAAAAUACAUAGGACUUUGAGGAUCUCUCUGCUGGGGUCAAGAAUACUAUUAUAUCCUUUGCCACAGUCAGACACUUCAGGACAACCUCUAGUCAUUGUGGAAGUGCAUAGUACAAUCCAAAUGGAAACAAAAACAAUUAAAUAU